CUUCAUUUUUUUCUUUUGGCCUAGGGAUGUCUAAUUGCUCCAGCAUCCUUUGUUGAAAAGCCGUCCUUCUUCCAUUGACUUGGUUUUACAAUUUGUCAAAAGUUUAUUAGCAUAUUUUUUUUUAUUCCUCUCCCAUGGAAGCAGAAUCCUGGAUAGCCUGGUUCAUAGGUGGAGACCCCUCGCCUGACCUGUGACAACAACAACUGACAUGUCUCCAGGGCUUCAUGGGUGCUGGAGCACUUGUUGUGCAUGACUUUGCUAAUAUUCAUGAAUUCCCUUGAGGAUGGUCGCUACCAUUUUACAGAUGAGAAGGACUGAGGCAGCAGGGAAGCUGGGUAAUCUGCCCAUAGGGCCCAGCCGGCCAGGGGCAGGCUCUGGCAGUUAACCACAACAGUGGGUGCUCCACAGAUGUCUAUAAAAUGAUGAAUCCAUGCCUUCGGUACCAGGGAUCAAACCCAGAAAGCAGUAAGCUCUAUCCCCAGCCCCUUUUCACUUUUUAUUUGGAAGCAAGUUCUCAAUAAGUUGCCUAGACAGGCCUUGAACUUGCAAUCCUCCUGCCUCAGCUUCCUAAGUAGCUGUGAUAACAGGUGUGCACCACCAUACCAGGCUUAGACCUAUGUUUUCUUUGAGUGGAGACCAGCUGAUGAGGAGGUAUGGGAUGCUGGAGGGUGGGAAGCAUUUGUGAAGGCAUAGAGAGGUGAAAAAAGUCAUCUGCUGGUGACACCAGGAGCUCAUUAUGGGCUCAGGGAGAGAGGGUGGAGGGGUGCCAGGCCAGAAGAGGAGGGCGCAGCAGACUGUGAAGGGGCUCAUGACUCCCUGGAGGGCCGAGCUCGCAGCAGGUGCUGUGUGCAGCUGGUGACGACAGUUCCCAGCCAGUCCUGCAGGACAGACUGGGAAGACUCCAUGUCAGGAUGAUGAUGCCUGUCGAUGGUCUUCCUGCAAGCGGUUCUCACGUCCAGAGCCUUGAAGGGCAGCCAAAGCCACGAGCAGCUUUGGAUUCUGCAUUUUCACAACGACCACCGUUCCUUUAUGCUUCCUGCAAGGGGAAGGCAGGCAGGCAGGAAUGAAGGAAAGAAGGAAAGAAGGAACGAAGGAAGGAAAAGAUGUCAAAGAGCACACCUUCCUCCCUUUAAGGUUCCUUCUCGAGGUUCCACAUACUUCUGGUCACUCAUAGAACUUAGUCACAUUGUCAAACCUUACAGCAAGAAAGUUGGGGAAAACAGCCUUGAUUCUGGGCCACUACGUGCUGCAGAGUUUAAAACCAGGAAUCUCAUGUAGAGCCCAAAGGGAUGACAGAUACUGGGACACUCACCGUUUCUGCACAGACUUCGUUCCUUUUGUGGUAGGCACAUAGCUUCUUCUAUAAGGGUUGGGGGUGUGGCUCAGAGGCAGAGCACUUGCCUGGAUUACACAGAGCCCUGGGUGCCACCUGGCAUCUGGGGGUCUGCGUAGGGGUUUAGGAGGAAUGAGGAUGGUGGCAGACAGGCAGGUGGUGACAAGGGGGUUACUGGAGGGAAAAGAAUGCAUGUGUCCACUGAGCUAUACACGCAGUGAGACCUUAUAUGAGACAGGACCUGUGCAUCCAGGGAUCCCCCAGCUGUGGGCUCAGGCAGCCUGGUCCUGACUACAUCUGCACUGUGUGGUCACAGCCCUGUGCGGUCAUAGCCCGGUCCAUCCGUUCUAUAGGUAGGAGGCCAUUCUGCUCCAUGAGCUCUCAGGGCUGUCAACAGAGCAGCAGAGUUGGACUGAGGGUGCUGUGCCCUGCUCUGGGCAUGAAUGAGUGAAUAAAUGCAAAAACAAGCUGGCGGAUGGGGAGAGAGGUCUCCUCCUGCCUCUGCAUCCAAACUUUGUCCAGCAUAAUGUACUGGGGAACCACCAGGAAGUCCAUGGUGGGAAAGUUUGAUUUUCCCAAAGUGAGAGUGUGGGGGUCCUGACUCCCCCAGUGCCAGACUGCAGACACGUUUAUUUCCAGUGUGGACUGGCGCUUUCAGCAGGGUAUUCCUGGAACAAACACGCCUUAUUUUAGCUCUCCAGGCUUCUCCUGCAUAGUGCAAAGAUGCCUGGGUACUCACAGGCUGCCUGGGGAUGCCCACUGGGCAGCUUCCCCGGGACAGGUAGCUGCCUGUGACCAUGGCCUGGGGUGGACUUUGUCCCUCUCUCCAACGUGUGCCAUGUUCUGGGCCUGCUGUGUCUGUCUGGUUCUGUGGGUGAGUCUGGCUGGAUGGGGCUGAGGAAGGUCCAGGUGACCUGUCCCCCACUUCCCAUGGGGCAACCCCUGUACUGAUCUCCAAGCCCUCUAGAACCCCAUCUCCUUACUCAUCAGAUGGGGGAAACUGAACUUGCUUUAAUUACAGUUCGAGGGUCCUGUGAGACCCACACAAGACACCCUCAAAGGACACAGGAAAAAGCAAGAACCAAGCUCCUAUAUAGCUGUCAUUAUCACACCACAACCUCCCCAAAUGGUAAUGUGUAUUUCCCACUGUGAGCAGCCAGAAGGUUGGAGCAUGACCCUGAGAAACCUAGUUGUUUUUUUUUUUCUUGCUUUUCUUUUCUUUUCUCUUCUUUUUUCUUUUCUUUUUUCUUUCC